rnacentral:rRNA from 1 species
UACGUAGGUGGCGAGCGUUGUCCGGAUUUACUGGGUGUAAAGGGAGCGUAGGCGGGCUUUUAAGUGAGAUGUGAAAUACUCGGGCUCAACUUGAGUGCUGCAUUUCAAACUGGAAGUCUAGAGUGCAGGAGAGGAGAGUGGAAUUCCAUGUGUAGCGGUGAAAUGCGUAGAUAUAUGGAGGAACACCGGUGGCGAAAGCGGCUCUCUGGCCUGUAACUGACACUGAGGCUCGAAAGCGUGGGGAGCAAACAGG